AUUGAACGCUGGCGGCAGGCCUAACACAUGCAAGUCGAACGAGUGGCGGACGGGUGAGUAAUGUCUGGGAAACUGCCCGAUGGAGGGGGAUAACUACUGGAAACGGUAGCUAAUACCGCAUACCAUCGGAUGUGCCCAGAUGGGAUUAGCUAGUGGGUGGGGUAACGGCUCACCUAGGCGACGAUCCCUAGCUGGUCUGAGAGGAUGACCAGCAACACUGGAACUGGGCAACGGUCAGGACUCCUACGGAGGGCGGAGGUGGGGAUAUUGGCAAAAUGGGGGCAGGCCUGAUGCGGCAAUGCCGGGUGUAUAAGUAAGGCUUUGGGGUGUAAAGGUACUUUCAGCGAGGAGGCGUUACUCGCAGAGAAAGCAACGGCUAACGCCGUGCCAGAAGCCGCGGUAAUAC
rnacentral:rRNA from 1 species